AUACAGCUGACGAGUCUCAAAUAGAAUGAAACGCGCGUUCUAAAU
rnacentral:hammerhead_ribozyme from 1 species